rnacentral:lncRNA from 1 species
GUUGAAUAAAGAAGUGAAUAUUGAAGAAACAAAGCUUAAAACAGAAGAACAAAUAAAGAAAGAAGUUUCCUUUAUGGCAUUGUAGGAACUGAAUGGACUGGAAAUACAAUUUCAAAUAUAUCCAGUGUGCUGGGCAUUGGUCAUGAUGGAAUCCUGAAAUGAAAACACAUUUCUCAAGAUUUCUCCCAACAAAAGAACUGCUGGAUCAAGGGACAUGAUUGUGGAGAACUCUUGUUGCAAUGAUGAAGCCUCAAGACAGAUCCUGCUGAGAUCACUGGUCACUUCGUGUAAGGGAACUGUCCUGGUGAAUGCUGGAGCCACUGCUAUUUGUUGAGCUAUUGAGUUAUUGAUAUAUAUCCAAGUUUAUUACCACCGCAUAAGCUUAUUCUGUCCUGACCAACGUAAACUAAAAUGGGAAAAUUCAAGUACAUGGCUGCUAAAUAUGUG